rnacentral:rRNA from 1 species
AAUGGAGUUUAUGAAUCGAAGGUGUCUGAAGCAAAUAGACAGCGGAACAAAACGACAGCCAGGACUAACUGCGGGGCUAAAAUGAGGCUGAAGAAGGAAAAGGAUGGAACAUUUGUCGUAAAAGAGAUAGUCUGGGAACACAACCAUAGGCUACAGCUCACUCUACAAAUGCUUGUCUUCUUGCACUCCCACAAAAACUUUGACAAAACAAUCUUGGAGUACAUCAAGUACCUGCAGUUCAAAGGCAUUGAACACGCGCAAAUCAUGAGCAUACUGGGCGGUGAUGACCCUGGUAGCUACUUCCUCGAAAAGAAUGCCAAAUACAUGAUUAACCUGAAAGCAAAGAAUUCAAGGAUGGAUGAUGUGGACGAUGUCCUAAAGACUGUCAACUUCUGUAGGGAGAUGAAAGCUAUAAAUAGGGAAUUCUUCGGUGACAUGCAACUCGAUGAGUCCGACAGAGGGGCCUAUCGGGACUUUGGUGACUGCGUAACAUUUGACACCACAUAUAAGACCAACAAGUACCAUAUGCCACAUGGGGUGUUUGUCGGUACUAACAACCACUUACAGACUACAUUCUUUGGUUUCGCCCUGAUAAGAGAUAACGAUGCAGAUUCAUUCAGAUGGUUGUUCAAGGCAUUUUUAAGGUGCAUGAGAGGGAAGGCUCCUACAUGCAUCCUCAUAGACCAGUUCCAUGCAAUGGCUUUAGCGAUCCCAGAUGCUUUCAAGAACACAAUACACAAGUUGUGCCGCUGGCACAUUAUGAAGAAGUAUAGCGAACACCUCGCAUACCUGUACAACUUGCACGAAGACUUUAAGGAUGAAUUCACAUCAAUCCUCAACUGGCCCCUUAUGCCAACUGAGUUUGGGGCUGCCUGGAAAAGACUGAUGGAUAAUUACAACCUCCACGAUGAUGCCACGAUGGUGGCCAUGCGGAAUGAGCGUGAGAGAUGGAUAUCAGCCUACUUGAAAGAAAUUUUCUACGCCAAAAUGACAUCCACACAGCAAAGCGAGAGCAUGAACUAUGUGCUCAACAAGAACUUCGUAAGUGAGAGACAAAACCUACACCGGUUUGUCAGCCAGGUAAACUCCUGCGUCAAAACCAGGAGGCAGGCAGAGAAUCAGGAGAAAAUGGGUAACCUGGUAUAG